AGUGAACGCUGGCGGUAGGCCUAACACAUGCAAGUCGAACGGCAGCACAGUAAGAGCUUGCUCUUACGGGUGGCGAGUGGCGGACGGGUGAGGAAUACAUCGGAAUCUACUUUUUCGUGGAGGAUAACGUAGGGAAACUUACGCUAAUACCGCAUACGACCUACGGGUGAAAGCAGGGGAUCUUCGGACCUUGCGCGAUUGAAUGAGCCGAUGUCGGAUUAGCUAGUUGGCGGGGUAAAGGCCCACCAAGGCGACGAUCCGUAGCUGGUCUGAGAGGAUGAUCAGCCACACUGGAACUGAGACACGGUCCAGACUCCUACGGGAGGCAGCAGUGGGGAAUAUUGGACAAUGGGCGCAGGCCUGAUCCAGCCAUACCGCGUGGGUGAAGAAGGCCUUCGGGUUGUAAAGCCCUUUUGUUGGGAAAGAAAAGCAGCAGGUUAAUACCCCGCUGUUCUGACGGUACCCAAAGAAUAAGCACCGGCUAACUUCGUG
rnacentral:rRNA from 1 species